AUUGAACGCUGGCGGCAUGCUUUACACAUGCAAGUCGAACGGUAACAGGCCGCAAGGUGCUGACGAGUGGCGAACGGGUGAGUAAUGUAUCGGAACGUGCCCAGUCGUGGGGGAUAACGCAGCGAAAGCUGUGCUAAUACCGCAUACGAUCUAUGGAUGAAAGCGGGGGACCGUAAGGCCUCGUGCGAUUGGAGCGGCCGAUAUCAGAUUAGGUAGUUGGUGGGGUAAAGGCUCACCAAGCCGACGAUCUGUAGCUGGUCUGAGAGGACGACCAGCCACACUGGGACUGAGACACGGCCCAGACUCCUACGGGAGGCAGCAGUGGGGAAUUUUGGACAAUGGGCGCAAGCCUGAUCCAGCAAUGCCGCGUGCAGGACGAAGGCCUUCGGGUUGUAAACUGCUUUUGUACGGAGCGAAACGGCCCUCUCUAAUAAAGAGGGCUAAUGACGGUACCGUAAGAAUAAGCACCGGCUAACUACGUGCCAGCAGCCGCCGUAA
rnacentral:rRNA from 1 species